rnacentral:piRNA from 1 species
UGAGCUGUCUGACAUGAGUGCAUGG